rnacentral:rRNA from 1 species
GACGAACGCUGGCGGCGUGCUUAACACAUGCAAGUCGAACGGUAAGGCCCUUCGGGGUACACGAGUGGCGAACGGGUGAGUAACACGUGGGUGAUCUGCCCUGCACUUCGGGAUAAGCCUGGGAAACUGGGUCUAAUACCGGAUAGGACUCCUGGCUUCAUGGUUGGGGGUGGAAAGCUUUUGCGGUGUGGGAUGGGCCCGCGGCCUAUCAGCUUGUUGGUGGGGUAAUGGCCUACCAAGGCGACGACGGGUAGCCGGCCUGAGAGGGGGACCGGUCACACUGGGACGGAGAUACGGCCCAGACUCCUACGGGAGGCAGCAGUGGGGAAUAUUGCACAAUGGGCGCAAGCCUGAUGCGGCGACGCCGCGUGAGGGAUGACGGCCUUCGGGUUGUAAACCUCUUUCAGCUAUGACGAAGCGCAAGUGACGGUAGUAGCAGAAGAAGGACCGGCCAACUACGUGCCAGCCGCCGCCGUAA